GAUGAACGCUGGCGGCGUGCUUAACACAUGCAAGUCGAACGGUGAAGGCGGAGCUUGCUCUGCUGGAUCAGUGGCGAACGGGUGAGUAACACGUGAGCAAUCUGCCCCUGACUCUGGGAUAAGCGCUGGAAACGGCGUCUAAUACUGGAUACGAGCUGCGAAGGCAUCUUCAGCAGCUGGAAAGAACUUCGGUCAGGGAUGAGCUCGCGGCCUAUCAGCUUGUUGGUGAGGUAACGGCUCACCAAGGCGUCGACGGGUAGCCGGCCUGAGAGGGUGACCGGCCACACUGGGACUGAGACACGGCCCAGACUCCUACGGGAGGCAGCAGUGGGGAAUAUUGCACAAUGGGCGAAGCCUGAUGCAGCAACGCCGCGUGAGGGACGACGGCCUUCGGGUUGUAAACCUCUUUUAGCAGGGAAGAAGCGAAAGUGACGGUACCUGCAGAAAAAGCGCCGGCUAACUACGUG
rnacentral:rRNA from 1 species